rnacentral:rRNA from 1 species
UGGGGAAUUUUGGACAAUGGGCGAAAGCCUGAUCCAGCAAUGCCGCGUGUGUGAAGAAGGCCUUCGGGUUGUAAAGCACUUUUGUCCGGAAAGAAAUCCUUGGCUCUAAUACAGUCGGGGGAUGACGGUACCGGAAGAAUAAGCACCGGCUAACUACGUGCCAGCAGCCGCGGUAAUACGUAGGGUGCAAGCGUUAAUCGGAAUUACUGGGCGUAAAGCGUGCGCAGGCGGUUUGCUAAGACCGAUGUGAAAUCCCCGGGCUCAACCUGGGAACUGCAUUGGUGACUGGCAGGCUAGAGUAUGGCAGAGGGGGGUUAGAAUUCCACGUGUAGCAGUGAAAUGCGUAGAGAUGUGGAGGAAUACCGAUGGCGAAGGCAGCCCCCUGGGCCAAUACUGACGCUCAUGCACGAAAGCGUGGGGAGCAAACAGGAUUAGAUACCCCUGGUAGUCCACGCCCUAAACGAUGUCAACUAGUUGUUGGGGAUUCAUUUCCUUAGUAACGUACUAACGCGUGAAGUUGACCGCCUGGGGGAGUACGGUCGCAAGAUUAAAACUCAAAUGAAUUGAUGGGGUCAUAGCUGUUU